rnacentral:rRNA from 1 species
GCGGAGGGAUCAUUAAAGAGUUCUAUAACUCCCAAACCCAUGUGAACAUACCUAACGUUGCCUCGGCAGGUCGCACCUACCUUGUAGCACCCUACCCUGUAGGGCCUACCCGGGAGGUGCGGGUAAGCCUGCCGGCGGCCCACCAAACUCUGUUUGAUAUUGAAUUCUGAACCUAUAACUAAAUAAGUUAAAACUUUCAACAACGGAUCUCUUGGUUCUGGCAUCGAUGAAGAACGCAGCGAAAUGCGAUAAGUAAUGUGAAUUGCAGAAUUCAGUGAAUCAUCGAAUCUUUGAACGCAUAUUGCGCCCAUUAGUAUUCUAGUGGGCAGGACCGUUCGAGCGUCAUUUCAACCCUUAAGCCUUCGUUGCUUAGUGUUGGGAGCCUACGGCAACGUAGCUCCUCAAAGUUAGUGGCGGAGUUGGUUCACACUCUAGACGUAGUAAUUUUUUAUCUCGCCUAUUAGUUGGACUAAUCCCCUGCCGUAAAACCCCCAAUUUAUCAAGGUUGACCUCGAAUCGGUUCAGACAAACUCGCUAAAUUGAAGCAUCUUAGUCAGCGAAGGAAAAGAAACCAACAGGGAUUGCCCUAGUAACGGCGAGUGAAG